UUCUAUAAAAGGGCGAGCUCUCGCAACGUUGACGCACACUACUUGAUCUUAUCUGAGCAGUGCCUUUGUUUUUUGGGGUUGGAUUGGAAUCGUAUUGGGAGGAGGCGGAGUUUGAGGCGGAGUCGAUGGCGAUGGAGGGAAUGGCCGAAAAGAAGCAGAGAGAAGAUAGUCACCCACCCAUUACCCUUACAUGUAGUAAUGGGGUUGUUGGCGGCCUCCGCUCCUCUGCUUCGUCAGCCACUAUCUCCAUUCUCUGUCAAACCCUAACAACUACUACCUACUCCCAACAAUACUUCCUCCCCAAUUGACUCACUGCGAUGAAGACUGCCCGCCGUCGGAGCCCUUUAGACUUUCCAUUGGGCGUUGAUGGCAGCGCGGGCUGUAUCAACCCCCAAAUAACUCUCUCUCUCUCUCUCACACACACACACACUACGUUUAUAUUAUAUAUAGAGUAUUAUUUAUUUUGUUGUUUAUUUCAUCUAUUUAACUCUUGUGUUUUUUGUUUUCGUUUUUUGAUCAUCUCAUGUAUUGUUGUACUAUUGUUGGUGUGUUGGUUUAGAUGUAGUUGACGACUCUCAGCAUCGACUUCAGGUCGUGGUUAUUGUUAUUAUUAUUUUGUUUAUAUAUGUGUAUAUGUUUAUUUAUCUCUUUGAAUUCCAUUAUAUAUCUGCGUCAUUGCUUUGUAAUAAGUUUGCCAAAUUAUUUAUUUAUUUCUUGAUUAAUGCUUCUCAUAUUAACACUGUGUUUGGCUGGAGGGAUUUGGGAAAAGAUUUGGAAAUGGACAAAAGAAAAUGAAGGUGAAAUUUGUUUUACACAUUUUUUCUUUCCCUUUUCGAAUUCUUUGCCAAAUCGCUCAACCAAACAUGGCGUUAGGUUAAUAGGUUUUUAUUUUUUUUUUGGGGGGGGGGGUUUGUUUUUGUGAUUUUGGAAUUGAAAUUGAAACCAAUAAAAAUUUGGGAACAUCCGUUGUUUAUGUAUUCUUAUGCACUCAUUCACUGAGCACCUAUGUGAAUUCAGACACUAAACCAAGCCAAGUCAAGUCUUAAGUGGGUCAGCUAUAUGAAUUUUUUUUUCCACGCGAUUCUAUCAAAGUUAUUUUGUUAGUUAAAUUAAGUAGAUUCAUAUCUCUAUUUAUAAUGCUAGCCAACGAUAAUUUAGGCCUACCCGGUCUCCUAACACUUUCAUAUUGUAUCGCGUCUUUUCAACGGUCUCUCUUAGUCUUUGUUGAAUAUGACUAUACUAUCUCAAUUGAUUCUUUCUUAACUUAUCUUCUAUCGGUGUUAUUCCUAUCCAUUCUUGAAUACACUCAUUUUUAAUUCUGUCUUGUGUAGUCUUGCCGCACAUUCACCUUAGCAACACUCAUUUUAUUUACAUGUUGUUUCUUGGUUGCCUAACAUUCCAUCUCAUACAACAUCGCUGGUCUAAUAGCUGUUCUAUAUAAUUUACUUUUUAGUCUAGUGCGUAUUCGUUUAUCGGAUGAUACCCCAAACGCACUUAUCUACUUAUUCCAUCUCGCCUCCUAUGGGCCACGUCCGUAUCAAUUUCCGCAAUAGUUGUGAUAAUCAAUCUUAAAUAACGAAAAUGUUCAUUCUUAAGUAGUUCUUGGUUAUCAAUCUUCACUUCUCCUUUGCUGUUACUGUUAUUAAAUUUAACUCUAGGUACUCUGUCUUAGUUCUGCUUAUCCGCAAUCUUUUAGAUUCAAGUGCUUUUCUCCAAAUCUCCAACUUUGUGUGAAUUUAGACACUGUUCUUUUAAAAUCGUUACGGUUGUUUGUGAUAUAUGUUCCAUGUGUUUAGCUUGAAUAUUCCGUUCUUUGUUUUUAUCAUAUAUUAUCAUAUCAGAUUAUUCUUCUAUUGAUAACUGCAAUAGUCAAUUGUGAAUUUCAUUAGCUGCCUUGAUUCAGCAUGAGUCAUUCAGAUUCUAAUCUGUGCCUUUUGGUCGAUGCAACAAGUAGCUGAGUGGGUAAUGACAAUGGUGCAAGGUUUUCCGGCACAGAUCUUGCUGUUGCAUUCUACAUGAAACCAAUUUGUACCUCAAUGGUGAAGGCUUUAUGAAUAGAGAAGAUUUUUACCUGAUACAAUACAGUAUCAAAAAUUGGGACAUUAGAGCAAUUACUUAACGAACUUGGUAAUGAAUUUGUUGGUUUCAUCUAGAAAUGCCAAUGUGGUAUAAGAAAGAUGAUAGUAAAAGUCUGUGGAGUGCCAACAUGUUAUUUCAAACCUCUAUGUUGCCUUCAACUCAUUUCUGAGUUCUUUCUUAGGACUUAAAAGAGUGGUCAUUCAUGAAGUUGUAUAUGCUCUAGUUUAUUUAAGCACAACUUUUUGUUCCCAAGUCGGCCAGUUUAUGGACUAGCCCUGAUUGUUUUGACGUUAUCAGCUUCAUGUUCAAGCUUGUAAAUGAGUGAGAAACUAUACUAAUAUUUUUCAUCAGUAAUGUCGACUCAAAGUGGUUGUACUAAUAUUUAUCUAAUGUUGAAA